GAAGAUACAUGGUACCUGCAGAAUGGAGGAUAGCAUCGCCAUUGCCGAUGAGGAGAGUCUUGAUGGUCGGAGCUUGGUGAUGAUGGUGUGCAGACGAGUAAUCGCCAAGCAUGUGAAAGAAAAAGUUGGUUUUUGACUGUGGUAGAUGGUUACUAUUGGUUUGGUAAAGAAAACAAAGGGGGUGAAGUAGUUACAUAUUAAUUUCUGUAGGGUAAAUCCCGAAAAAUGAGGAAGACACUAUCACAAAACCCGGAGAUAAGGGUCAUGAUUGCGGUAAUGACUCUUUUUUAUUUUGGAAGGAUAUCGGCUCAGAACCUGUCAAGGUGCUGACAAGAGAAGAUAAUUUUGGAACAUAAUAUUAUAUUCCAAAAUUAGGGGGCAUGUGUUGACACAGGUUUCUGGCUAGAGUCAACCAAUGAGGAUAAGGUUCUGACAGCCGAUGGACUUGCCGAAGAAGGACUGGUGAUGACUCUGCGGUGACCAAAGACAGCCACGAGUGACCGGAUUCCAGAAGCCGACAAAAGACCGAGGAGAAUCCGAUCCAAAGAAGAAUUGACUCCACCAAAUAAGGGAACACAUGGAGAUUUAUCUUUAGUAAUUUUUAGAUUUAUUGUUUCGAUUAAUGUCAUAACCAACUAGGAUUUUAGUUUGAUCCAGGGUAUAAAUAUAAACCCAUGAGCCUUGUAAUAAUCAAUCAAUACAAUCUUUCGGCGCCACACCGCCAAAAACCUAGGAGUAGGAGUAGAGUAAAAAACCAGCGAGUUUCUUCUUGCGCGCAGGGCCGCAUCAGCUUCGAUCUCAGGCGAGCUUGUAAGUACCAUC
rnacentral:lncRNA from 1 species